rnacentral:rRNA from 1 species
AUUGAACGCUGGCGGCAGGCCUAACACAUGCAAGUCGAACGAGUGGCGGACGGGUGAGUAAUGUGUGGGAAACUGCCCGCUGGAGGGGGAUAACUACUGGGAACGGUAUCUAAUACCGCAUAUCACCUGAUGUGUCCAGAUGGGAUUGGCGAUUGGGUGGGGUAACGGCUCACCUAGGCGACGAUCCCUAGCUGGGCUGAGAGGAUGACAAGCCACACUGGAACUGAGACACGGUCCAGACUCCUACGGGAGGCAGCAGUGGGGAAUAUUGCACAAUGGGCGCAAGCCUGAUGCAGCCAUGCCGCGUGUAUGAAGAAGGCCUUCGGGUUGUAAAGUACUUUCAGCGAGGAGGCGUUACUCGCAGAAGAAGCACCGGCUAACUCCGUGCCAGCAGCCGCGGUAAUAC